rnacentral:ncRNA from 1 species
GAGGACCUUUUCCUAGUACAAGAGGACUAGGAAGGACGCAUCUUUGAUGUACUAGUUAUCGUGGCCACAAUAAACGCUGGAAAGCCAAAAAUGGAGCGGAUAAUUGCUGAAAGCAUCUAAGUAGUAAGCCCACCUC